GGGACUGUGGCUUAGUGAUAGAGUGCUUGCCUAGCAUGCAUGAGGCCCUCCCUGGGUUCAAUUCCUCAGUACCA
rnacentral:tRNA from 1 species